rnacentral:pre_miRNA from 1 species
CGUGCACCAGUGGGGUCCCUCAGCCUGGCCUGCAUCCUCUAGCAAUCUGGGACCCCUCAGGGGAUGUUGGAGAGCUGGUUUUGGCCUGAUCCUGCAGGCCAGGCUGAGGGUCCCCACUGGUGCAUG